rnacentral:misc_RNA from 1 species
GUUGAAGCUUGGUUCAAAGAACGUAUCAAG